GUGAGGAAUAUUGGACAAUGGGCGCAAGCCUGAUCCAGCCAUGCCGCGUGCAGGAAGACGCAUCUAUGGUGUGUAAACUGCUUUUGUACGGGAAGAAACACUCCCUCGUGAGGGAGCUUGACGGUACCGUAAGAAUAAGGAUCGGCUAACUCCGUGCCAGCAGCCGCGGUAAUACGGAGGAUCCAAGCGUUAUCCGGAAUCAUUGGGUUUAAAGGGUCCGUAGGCGGUUUAAUAAGUCAGUGGUGAAAGCCCAUCGCUCAACAAUGGAACGGCCAUUGAUACUGUUAGACUUGAAUUACAAGGAAGUAACUAGAAUAUGUAGUGUAGCGGUGAAAUGCUUAGAUAUUACAUGGAAUACCAAUUGCGAAGGCAGGUUACUACUUGUGGAUUGACGCUGAUGGACGAAAGCGUGGGGAGCGAACAGGAUUAGAAACCCGUGUAGUCC
rnacentral:rRNA from 1 species